CAGCCGGCAACUGGAAGUCUCUGCCCCAUUUCACCUGAUGUACAAAUUACAGCUCUAUGAAUGGACUUUUGAUUGGGGUGAAUGACUGGGUUCAUGGAAAGUAAAGCUAAAUAAACAUGCACUCUGUAGAACCCGGAGCAGCAGACUCUUGCAGGUUUUGGGUCGUUGGAGCAUCGCCGAACUUCAGGUGACGGACUAUUUCCUGACAUUCUACAAGAAAAUUUUUAGUUUGAAUUAAUUGUAGCCUCUAUGGAAGCAAGCUGCCCAGGCCCUAAAGGCCAUACUUCACAGAAGGGAUGAGGU